UACGGGGGGGGCAAGCGUUGUUCGGAAUUACUGGGCGUAAAGGGCUCGUAGGUGGCCAACUAAGUCGGACGUGAAAUCCCCAGGCUCAACCUGGGAACUGCGUCUGAUACUGGAAGGCUUGAGUGCGGGAGAGGGAUGUGGAAUUCCAGGUGUAGCGGUGAAAUGCGUAGAUAUCUGGAGGAACACCGGUGGCGAAGGCGGCAUCCUGGACCGACACUGACGCUGAGGCGCGAAAGCUAGGGUAGCAAACGGG
rnacentral:rRNA from 1 species